UAUAUUACUUUUAUGUUCAG
rnacentral:miRNA from 1 species